GCUUCUGGAACCAGAUAAUUGGAAAUUUCCUAUGUGUACUUGAGGAAACAGAAGGUUUCUACAGAGAGAUUGACACUGUUUACACUGAUUAGUGGAGGCUCUGAGAAAGUCUAAUUUAUUUUAUAAAAGUAAAAGCAGCAAGAAGAUGGUCAUCCUCCAGACAAGGAAGAGGAGUUACCAAAUUUUGCAGGCAGUUCAGCAUAAGUCAAAUUUGCAAACUUCAAAGAAUAGGAUUGAAGAAGAAGAAGAAGAAGAAGAAGAAGAAGAAGAAGAAGAAGAAGAAGAAGAAGAAGAAGAAGAAUUAUCCAAAUUCAAGUGGAAAAACAAAAUCUUUUGGGCUGAAAGUUACCAGUUAUUUUGUUCAAACCAUCUUUCUUAUAACAUUGUUUUCUCUUUCUACCUAAUUGCCUGCAUGCUUAGGGCAGCUGGAAAUAAAUCUGUUUGCAGAGAAUAAAACAAAAACACAACACUAAGUUUUUCUAACUUUUAUGUUAAUAAUUUGUAGAUAAAUUAAAUAUUUUCCCAUAUAUUUGAUUGAUUGAUUUGCUUCAGUAGAAAGCCACAUAAGCUUUAAAAUAUUUCUUGAGAAUAUUCCUAGGAACUUCUUUGUUAGGUUAUUGUACCUCAAACUUUAAGGAAAAUGUUAAGGUUUAUUUUCUGAAAAUAGUUUUGCCAACUUUCUAACCUGCACUUUUUCCUCACUGAUGCAACUAAAGAAACUGGGUAUUAUCCAAAGGGUAAUAUGCUAUUAUAUAAAGGAUUCCUAGAGAAAAUUGGCCAAUCAUCCAGGCAUUGUCAGAAUUUUCAAUCUUGUUAUAAAAUACAGAAACGCAGUUAAUGGUGUUUGUGUUUGGAAUUCUAUUUAAAGUUGCGUGGUGUAGAAAGUGUGCAAAAUGAAACAGUGCGAUUUUGAAAAGUUGUAAAGUGCUAUCUUUCGGUAAAAUGUUGAAUUUGCAGUUGUUUGACCAAAUUAUACAUGAGAACCAAAAACAACUUCUUAAAAUAAUCUAUGAUAUUCCGUCACACUCAAUCAAGAUAUAGGACAAGUGACAUGGAAAUCAUGGAGGUUAUCUUCAAGGAGACUUGAUAGUCUUAUUUUCUUUUAAUGCUGAAAACAGAACAUGUUUCACUGAUAACUGACAAAUCAUGCAACUCUAAAAGCAACAGUGAGGGAAGAAGAUGUUUUGGAAGGUAAGAAAAUGAAUUGGGGAAAAGUCUAUUAAUUUAUUCACAAAUGUCUUAAUUAAUUAGUUUUAGUUAAUUUCAUGGAAAGAAA
rnacentral:lncRNA from 12 species